GUUUCCGAGGGACCGUAACCGAAGAAAAAGACAGGCCAUAAAUUACCUCAGAGAGAACUAGGAACCAGGACCUGGUGCUCAAUUGUGUAUGUCCAAAGAGAAGAUUUUGGGCAUGCUCACUUUCUGUUGUCUAAGAAGGUGGAAAUUAACACAAUGAACUACUUCCAAGCAGCUAGUCUAGGAACAGUUACUGCCGUAAGGUACAGAUAGAACAGAAUGGAUGUGGGUGAUACCAAUCAACUUGUACAUAUCAGCUCUAAAUGCCAUCAAACCACUGGGCUGAAGAUAUAUGUUUUCGACACCAUCAAAACUUUACCCGUUUCAGGCAUCUGUAGAAAAGACUGAAACCAAGGACGAUAAAACUUGCUGCACUCGUAAUUGUAUAUGGCGUCUGGUAGCUGCCACUGUCUGCCAUUUCAGCACCUACUAUUCAUAUCAUACAGAGUGACUAUGACUCUUGCCUUCCAGGAUAUGCACAAAUGCUCUGAACUGAUGGAGUAAAACAUUCCGAAGUCUUCAGCUGCAGUGUAGUGCGAGAGUCAUUCUUCACCUGUGAGCAACACCAGAACUAAGAUCCAAAUAUCAUUUUGCAGCUGAGUGUUACAGCAUUAACAUAGAACAACAGCCUUUGAGAUACACUAUUGGGACUGUUGAACAACCAGCACCUGAGCAACAUUCUCGAAGCAGUGGAUGCCAAAUUGCAAGUGGUGUUUUGCCAGUAUUUCAAAUGUUCUACCUUGGUUUUUAUUCGAUACCAGCAUACUGUAGCACUUGGUGGUGUGGUACCUCACCGAGCUUCUGAUUUGACCCACUCAUCAGCUCUGAUGGAAUGUGAACUAUUGCUUUUUGACUUUCGUGGGUGCAGCUAGCUUGGAAAAAGUAAUGAUAGUAACAAUGAUCAAUUCUCACCUUGUAUGGAAUCUCCAUGCUUAUGAAACAGAUCAACUAUCUACCAAUUAGCCCAAAGGAAAAUCUUCAGCACAUAAAGUUAACACCAGUAUCUGGCUGCUUCUCCAGCUGACAGUUUUGUUUGAUGUUUUGUGUAGGCAGGUCAGGUGUAUGGAAAAUGCAUCAGAGACAGGAUGAUGAUAUUCAGUGUAUAGUGAGCAGUGGUGUGGGAAAGUGUGUUGUCUUUGAUCUUGUUCAACAGUGUGUUUGGAUUCUGUGUAGGAUAUACAAUGUUGAUAGUCAGACAAUACUUCAUCACCAUUUUGACCUCGACUUCUAUCAACUACAUAAACCCAAGAAUGUGAGUGUCUGAUCCUGUUGCCCAUUCUUAUGUGGGUUGAUAACAGUAUGUCCUUUCUUCUGAUGUAUAUUUAUUGUGGUACAGACAUGAAUUAUUACUUGCCUACUUAUAUGUGUUAUGAUGUAUUAUCUUGUAAUUAUGACAAUACAACAAGCACGAAAUUCACUAUUCCUCCCAAUGAACUGUAAUUGGUAGACAUAAGAGUGAAAUCAGUUCCUCUUUGAGCACCUUCUGUAUGUUUGUUACUUGGCAAAUUUGAAAUUGUAUGUAUGUUGUAACCCCCACUGCAUAUGUUCUGUGUACUUUGUAUGUGUGGUAUAAUACUGCACAGAAAAGUUCCAUAUGUACAUAGUUAAUAUGUGGUGCAAACUGUUUCUCUUUGGUUCCCUAAAGGAGAACUGGUAUCAUUAAAGCCCCAUCCCGAUACAGAUGAUUUGUUGAGUUUUAUAUAAUCAAUUGUCACAUUAGACCAUGGAUGGGAUAUUAUGAACAUCUGUGAUGUCAUAGCUAUAGUUUAUUUUAUAUGUUAAAUAAAAUGAAUAUGUAAUUUUGAGGUUGUUGGGUGAAAAACAGAUGAAUUAUUCCGAGCUACAUAAAAUGUUUGUAUUUUUACAACACUUGUUCCUAAUUUACCAUGUUCUAGUUGUAUUGUUCAAGAUUUCCUAAAUUUGUAAAACAUCAAAACUGCUUUUCAUUAUGUUGCUUAAAUAUUAUUGUGUGUCGACAGAAGCAGAAAGGAGGACAAAAUGAGAACCAAACAGUAAUGUUCAUUAUUGUAACAUGAACAAGUUGUAUCUGAGUCCAUAGGUAGUAAUUUAAGAUAAAGAGAAUUAGCGUAAAUCACACAAAAGCUGUCAUCACUGUCAACAGUUGACAUAAUAUAGAACCAUACUGCUGCUGCUACACACACACACACACACACACACACACACACACACACACACACACAGAGAGAGAGAGAGAGAGAGAGAGAGAGAGAGAGAGAGAGAGAGAGA